rnacentral:sRNA from 12 species
UGAGGGAGGUGCGCUUAUGUCGAAGACAUAAUUCUACAUCGCACCGACCGACUGGCCGCCGAGCGAAGGCGAGGGGGCAUUACAUGUU